GAUGAAGAACGCAGCGAAAGUGCGAAACGUAAUGUGAAUUGCAGAAUUCAGUGAAUCAUCGAGUCUUUGAACGCACAUUGCGCCCCCUGGUAUUCCGGGGGGCAUGCCUGUCCGAGCGUCAUUGCUGCCCUCAAGCACGGCUUGUGUGUUGGGCCUCCGUCCUCCUCCCGGGGGACGGGCCCGAAAGGCAGCGGCGGCACCGCGUCCGGUCCUCGAGCGUAUGGGGCUUCGUCACCCGCUCUUGUAGGCCCGGCCGGCGCUUGCCGACACAUCAAUCUUUUUUCCAGGUUGACCUCGGAUCAGGUAGGGAUACCCGCUGAACUUAAGCAUAUCAAUAAGCGGAGGA
rnacentral:misc_RNA from 1 species